rnacentral:rRNA from 1 species
GGGGAAUAUUGGACAAUGGGCGCAAGCCUGAUCCAGCCAUGCCGCGUGAGUGAUGAAGGCCUUAGGGUUGUAAAGCUCUUUUGUCCGGGACGAUAAUGACGGUACCGGAAGAAUAAGCCCCGGCUAACUUCGUGCCAGCAGCCGCGGUAAUACGAAGGGGGCUAGCGUUGCUCGGAAUCACUGGGCGUAAAGGGCGCGUAGGCGGCCAUUCAAGUCGGGGGUGAAAGCCUGUGGCUCAACCACAGAAUUGCCUUCGAUACUGUUUGGCUUGAGUAUGGUAGAGGUCAGUGGAACUGCGAGUGUAGAGGUGAAAUUCGUAGAUAUUCGCAAGAACACCAGUGGCGAAGGCGGCUGACUGGACCAUUACUGACGCUGAGGCGCGAAAGCGUGGGGAGCAAAC